rnacentral:lncRNA from 1 species
GCAGACGUGGACUAACCGCCGGGCAUGUAAAACGACGUCGUUUUAUCAAGUUUUUCUAAAUAAAAAAAAUAAAAUAAAAAGAAAAGAAAAAAAACGUUGCUGCGCCCCGCCUCCUUUCUGCUCUCUCUCUCUCUCUCCACACAGAGACGCCACUCCCUUCUUCCUCACCGGCGUUGCCGGCGUCGUCACCGGCGUCGUCGCCUCUCCCUUCUCUCGCCUCUCACCCUCCCUCUGUAACACACGCACAACCCAAAAAGACAAGGAAUUCAAACAAAAAUCAGCCCAACAAAAC